UACGGAGGGUGCAAGCGUUAUCCGGAUUCACUGGGUUUAAAGGGUGCGUAGGCGGAUAUGUAAGUCCGUGGUGAAAUCUCUGGGCUUAACCCGGAAACUGCCAUGGAUACUAUGCGUCUUGAAUGUUGUUGAGGUGAGCGGAAUAUGUCAUGUAGCGGUGAAAUGCUUAGAUAUGACAUAGAACACCAAUUGCGAAGGCAGCUCACUAAGCAAAUAUUGACGCUGAGGCACGAAAGCGUGGGGAUCAAACAGG
rnacentral:rRNA from 1 species